rnacentral:rRNA from 1 species
GAUGAACGCUGGCGGCGUGCUUAACACAUGCAAGUCGAACGAUGAAGCCGGAGCUUGCUCUGGUGAAUUAGUGGCGAACGGGUGAGUAACACGUGAGUAACCUGCCCUUGACUCUGGGAUAACUGCGGGAAACUGUGGCUAAUACCGGAUACGACCCUCGGAGGCAUCUCCUGGGGGUGGAAAGAAUUUCGGUCAAGGAUGGACUCGCGGCCUCUCAGCUAGUUGGUGAGGUAAAGGCUCACCAAGGCGACGACGGGUAGCCGGCCUGAGAGGGUGACCGGCCACACUGGGACUGAGACACGGCCCAGACUCCUACGGGAGGCAGCAGUGGGGAAUAUUGCACAAUGGGCGCAAGCCUGAUGCAGCAACGCCGCGUGAGGGAUGACGGCCUUCGGGUUGUAAACCUCUUUUAGCAGGGAAGAAGCGAAAGUGACGGUACCUGCAGAAAAAGCACCGGCUAACUACGUGCCAGCCGCCGCGGUAA